rnacentral:sRNA from 1 species
GUGAGCAACCAAAAAAUACAGAGGUAUUGAGGACUACACUGAAACAUUCAAAUGUGUGGCGAAAACAUGAUUUUCAUUCCUUGGAUGGAACUUCAACCAGAGCCUUUCAUCCUCAAACUGGAUUGCCUCUUCUUUCAAGCCCUGUUCCUCAAAGAAAAACACAAUCAGGUUGCUUUGAUCUGGAUUCUUCAUUACUACAUCUGAAAAGCUUCUCAUCUAGAAGGAAUCUGUCUUGAACUAUCGUUUCGAUCCUCUCGGCAUUGUUGAUGGUUUUACUGCCGAGGUAGGGGCAAGUGGUGCUUUCUGCCCCACACAUUUGACUCUUCCAGUUGAAGUGUCAUUCUACAGUGUUUCAGAUGACAAUGCUCCCUCUCCUUAUAUGGGUGUGAUUACUUUAGAGUCCCUUGGUAAAAGGGGUUAUCGAGUACCUCCUUCAGGAACAAUACAAGUGGUAUGUGUUUUAUAGCCUACAAUUGCAAUAAUCAUUCUCUCACAUACAUAUAGAACUUAGCCCUUUCUCCUGCUACUGCUGCUGCAACAACUUUGGUAAGUAACAGUGGGGCUGCAGCUUUGUUUGGAGUUUCCCUGCUCUGCCCCAGGAAUGACCAUUUGGGGACCUCCAUAAAAGGAAAGCAUUAAUAAGCUAAUCAAGGUGAAUACUUAAGAAAAAUAGCAUAUGACAGUUUGCAUAACUUCAAUAGGACUCUUCAAUAUAUUUAGAACCUAAUAUUACUGGUGCCUUCUUUUUAAUAAACCAGAUUGAGACGAACCUGUUUAAAAGGAGACCCCAAAUAUUAGAAUUGCUUUGGCAGGAAAACUUGGGAAACAAAAUUAUUUCUAAUAGUUUCUAAAAUUGAUUUAAUGAGAUGACCACACAAAGCAGAAAUAUAGUCUGACAGAUGUCAGGGCAGAGAAGGCAUCAUUCCUUUUGGUCUAGGCAUUGAUCUCCUUUUGGCUCAGGAGAGUCCUCCUGUCUCAGAACAGUCCUUCAUCAUUCCUGGUCUAGGGUUCUCAGAAGAAUAAUCUGAUAUUAAGGCCAGCUUGAAAUUGAGUUAACUCUAGAUCUGACCCAGCAUAAUCCUGCAAGCCCUCAAAUCUAUUACAGAGUUUGCAGACUGAAAGAGAGUCUAGCUUAGGCUUGCUCCUCAUACCCAGGAUUUGAUCUAAUCCAACAAGCCUUUUUAUGACCUUUGACCUCAGUGUGUUCAGUACUUUGUCAGAUCACUUUUACUCAUCAUCAUUGUUCCAAUACUACAAGGAAUCUGUAUAUUUGUUUAUUUCAUAUCACACAGGAAUGAAACAGAAGUAUGUAACAUGUGUACGUGUGUGUAUAUAUAUAUACACACAUAUAUAGUAAUACAUAUUUAUAUAAGUUUAACUGAGGAGGAAUUACCACAAGAAUACCCCAAGUAAACCGAUUUCUUGAAGUAAAGGAGUGACAGUGUUCUCUUGCCUUUGGCUGUGCAGCUCAUGAGAAAGUGUGGGUCAGUGGAAAGCUAGCUGUCAGUUGUGAUAAUAAUGAAGCAUAAACUCGGAGGUAACACAUUCACCUCUUGUUUGGAGACUGCCAACUUUAGUGG